UACGGAGGGUCCAAGCGUUGUCCGGAAUCAUUGGGUGUAAAGGGUGUGUAGGCGGGGGCGCAAGUCAGGGGUGAAAGCCCGCAGCUCAACUGCGGAAUCGCCUUUGAGACUGCGUCUCUUGAGUCCUGGAGAGGCCACUAGAAUUCGUGGUGUAGCGGUGAAAUGCGUAGAUAUCACGAGGAAUACCGGAGGCGUAGGCGGGUGGCUGGACAGGUACUGACGCUGAGGCACGAAAGCGUGGGGAGCGAACAGG
rnacentral:rRNA from 1 species